AUGCGUGGUUCCUCCACGACCACACAUUUCGUUCGUCACCCUCUCAAUCGCGGUUUGUCUCAACAUCGCGAUCUCCUUCCGAUCAACAAAGCUCCUUCUCGCUAUCGCAAAAACUUCAUAUCUCCUUUUAGAUUCCAUGGCAUAACUCCCUUCAUCACCAGUGAUUUCUUCCUCCGACCUUCAGCUUCAUCUCAGAUCGACGGUUUCAUCUACCAGAGAGAAGUGCGGUGUUUUUGCGACGACGAGAACCCUACCAGAAAUCCGGAGAUAAUAAUACGCUUUUCCAAGCAAGCAUUUCAUUCUCGAUUCUUCUUAUUUUUGCUUGCGAUUCUGAAUCUUCUUCCUCUGAAUUUCCGCAUUUCUGCGUUUUUAUUACUGCAGUGA